AUUGAACGCUGGCGGCAGGCCUAACACAUGCAAGUCGGGCGAGCGGCGGACGGGUGAGUAAUGCUUGGGAAUCUAGCGUAUGGAGGGGGAUAACUACGGGAAACGGUAGCUAAUACCGCGUACCAUAGGAUGAGCCCAAGUGGGAUUAGGUAGUUGGUGGGGGAACGGCUCACAAAGGCGACGAGCUCUAGCUGGUCUGAGAGGAUGACCAGCCACACUGGAACUGAGACACGGUCCAGACUCCUACGGGAGGCAGCAGUGGGGAAUAUUGCGCAAUGGGGGCAACCUGACGCAGCCAUGCCGCUUGAAUGAAGAAGGCCUUCGGGUUGUAAAGUUCUUUCGUUAGCGAGGCGUUAACUACAGAAGAAGCACCGGCUAACUCCGUGCCAGCAGCCGCGGUAAUAC
rnacentral:rRNA from 1 species